rnacentral:rRNA from 1 species
UUGACCUCAAAUCGGGUGAGACUACCCGCUGAACUUAAGCAUAUCAAUAAGCGGAGGAAAAGAAACUAACAAGGAUUCCCCUAGUAACUGCGAGUGAAGCGGGAAAAGCUCAANUUNAAAUCUGGCGGUCUUUGGCCGU